rnacentral:lncRNA from 1 species
CCCAUAGCUCCAGAGCUAAAACUUAAUUCUUGCACCCAACUUAUAUGCCACUAAUUUUUAUAUAUGUUUGAAACAUUUUUUUAAAAAGGAAUCAAAAAGAAGAGUAGAGAUUUCAACCAGUCAAUAUGUCAGCUGUGUAAUAAGUUACUUUUGUUUUUUGAUGCUGUCUCCUAGAUUUGAGAGCUAUUGCUAUUUUGGGAUGUUAAUACCCAGGUUAUGAAUUGUACUUUGGCUUGGAGGACAUGAACCCUAACAAUUUUCUUCAGGUUUAUAUGGAAUCCAUACUACAUGUCUCAAUGAAGAGUGCUGGUGAAAGGUGAUUGAAAAAGUGUCAGUUUGAAUAUAAUACUUGACAUUUUGCAAAAACUUAUUUUAAUUAAAUUUUCUUCACCUACUAAAACAUUAGAAAACUAUUUUUGGUGUAAUUUUAAUAUCUAACACUUGGUACAGUCCAACCUACCCACACUUUGCUCAGAAGCUCUAUAAUCUUUGCUUGGUACAACUUGUAUUUCAGGACUGCCCGUCUGAGCUCAGGAAACGUUGAGUUUCACUAAAGAUUUAUUGUUGAAAAGUUAAUAAUUUUUGAGAAGUACUUGCAGCCUCCUUGAAAAAGAAUAAUUUCAGAAAGCACUGGAAACUAUAUGAUAAUAAAAAGUGUCAUGUUUUCCAUGUUUAUUUUCUAUAUCAAAAAUAUUAAAA